rfam:Equus caballus chromosome 2, whole genome shotgun sequence.
AUUUUAGUAUAACUGUGUCCCAUUCAAUAUUUGGGACACAGUUAUACUAAAA